UACGAAGGGGGCUAGCGUUGCUCGGAAUCACUGGGCGUAAAGGGUGCGUAGGUGGUUAGGUAAGUCCGAUGUGAAAUCUCCAGGCUCAACCUGGAAAUGGCAUUGGAUACUAUUUAGCUUGAGGAGUGGAGGGGGGACUGGAAUUCCCGGUGUAGAGGUGAAAUUCGUAGAUAUCGGGAGGAACACCAGUGGCGAAGGCGGCGAUCUGGGUCGAUACUGACGCUGAGGUGCGAAAGCGUGGGGAGCAAACAGG
rnacentral:rRNA from 1 species